AAAAUUCUUAACGGUGGAUCACUCGGCUCACAUUCGAUGAAGCCCGCAGCU
rnacentral:rRNA from 1 species